rnacentral:rRNA from 1 species
UACGGAGGGGGCUAGCGUUGUUCGGAAUACUGGGCGUAAAGCGCACGUAGGCGGCUUUGUAAGUUAGAGGUGAAAGCCCGGGGCUCAACCCCGGAAUUGCCUUUAAGACUGCAUCGCUAGAAUUGUGGAGAGGUAAGUGGAAUUCCGAGUGUAGAGGUGAAAUUCGUAGAUAUUCGGAAGAACACCGAGUGGCGAAGGCGGGUCUCUGGGCAACAACUGGACGCUGAGGAGCGAAAAGCGUGGGGAGCGAACAGG